AUGCAGAUGAUGGGGACAGUGCUGGACCACUUCCGGUCGUCGGCGUGGUACUACCUGACGGCGGUGCUGGCGGCGUGCGCCCGCAUCGGGGUGUUCCGGACCUACUUCAACCAGUACCUCCGGCGGCCCCUGCGGCGGCUGCUCCCGUUCCUGGACCCGUUCGUCACCAUCGACAUCGCGGCCAAACCGGAGGACUACUCCUUCUCGUACCAGGGCAAGGUGAAGUCGAGCGACGCGUACGCGGAGGUGCUGGCGUACCUGAGCGCGGUGUGCUCGCGGGACGCGCGGGAGCUGCGCGCGGAGGGCGCCGUCGAGGGCCACACCUUCGUGCUCAGCCUCCGGGAGGGGCAGGUGGUGACGGACGACUUCAAGGGCGCCACCAUAUCGUGGUCGGCGGUGGCGGAGGAGAAGACGACGUGGCGGGCGUCGGGGCGGUGCUGCCGCCUCACGUUCCACGAGCGGCACCGGCGGCUCGUCGUCGACGAGUACCUGCCGCACGUCCGCCGCGCCGGGCAGGAGGUCAUGUUCGGCAACCGGCCCCGCAGGCUCUACUCCAACAAGAAGGAGCUCAGCUACCACUCUAGGAGGGACGAGGUGUGGAGCUACAUCGACUUCGACCACCCAACCACUUUCGACACCCUGGCCAUGGACCCGGCCAAGAAGCAGAUGAUAAAGGACGACCUCGACGACUUCACCUACAGCAGGGACUACUACCGCCGGAUCGGCAAGGCCUGGAAGCGCGGCUACCUCCUCCACGGCCCGCCGGGGACGGGCAAGUCCACCAUGAUCGCGGCCAUGGCCAACUACCUCAAGUACGACAUCUACGACAUCGAGCUCACCACCCUGGAGAGCAACAGCGACCUGCGCAAGCUCUUCAUCGAGACCACCGGCAAGUCCAUCAUCGUCAUCGAGGACAUCGACUGCUCCCUCGACCUCACCGGCAGCCGCGCCACCAUGCUGCCGCCGCUGCCCGCGUUCGACGACGCCGCCGAGGCAGGCUACGACAAGUCGCGCGGCAAGAGGCACAACAUCCUGACGCUCUCCGGCCUGCUCAACUUCAUCGACGGGCUGUGGUCGGCGCACAGCGGCGAGCGCAUCAUCGUUUUCACCACCAACCACCUGGACAAGCUGGACCCGGCGCUCAUCCGGCGCGGGCGCAUGGACAUGCACAUCGAGAUGUCCUACUGCGGCUUCGAGGCGUUCAAGACCCUGGCGAAUAACUACCUGGAAGUGGAGGCGCACCCGCUGUUCGGGGCCGUGGAGGAGCUGCUGGGCGACGUGAAGAUGACGCCGGCGGACGUGGCCGAGUGCCUGAUGCCGUCCAAGCGCAGCGCGCGCGACGCCGACGCCUGCCUCACUCGCCUGAUCGACCAGCUCAAGGAAAGAAAAGCGGCCGAGGAAGACAAGGAAUCAAAGACCGCCGAGGAAGACGACGUGAAGGAUACGGCCAAGGAGGAGGACAAGUGGGAAACGGAGAAAGUGCCAUCAAAAUCCAAAUCCAAAAAGGAGAAGAGCGAGGCCUGCCAAGUCGUGACCAACGGAGCACACACUGGCGCCAGUGGUGUGAGCGUCUCUACUUCUACCGACCAUUAUCUGUCUUAG
rnacentral:rRNA from 1 species